AGUAACACGUAGGUAACCUGCCCAUGUGUCCGGGAUAACUGCUGGAAACGGUAGCUAAAACCGGAUAGGUAUACGGAGCGCAUGCUCUGUAUAUUAAAGCGCCCAUCAAGGCGUGAACAUGGAUGGACCUGCGGCGCAUUAGCUAGUUGGUGAGGUAACGGCCCACCAAGGCGAUGAUGCGUAGCCGGCCUGAGAGGGUAAACGGCCACAUUGGGACUGAGACACGGCCCAAACUCCUACGGGAGGCAGCAUG
rnacentral:rRNA from 1 species